AUUGAACGCUGGCGGCAGGCCUAACACAUGCAAGUCGAACGGUAACAGGAAGAAGCUUGCUUCUUUGCUGACGAGUGGCGGACGGGUGAGUAAUGUCUGGGAAGCUGCCUGAUGGAGGGGGAUAACUACUGGAAACGGUAGCUAAUACCGCAUAACGUCGCAAGACCAAAGAGGGGGACCUUCGGGCCUCUUGCCAUCGGAUGUGCCCAGAUGGGAUUAGCUAGUAGGUGGGGUAACGGCUCACCUAGGCGACGAUCCCUAGCUGGUCUGAGAGGAUGACCAGCCACACUGGAACUGAGACACGGUCCAGACUCCUACGGGAGGCAGCAGUGGGGAAUAUUGCACAAUGGGCGCAAGCCUGAUGCAGCCAUGCCGCGUGUAUGAAGAAGGCCUUCGGGUUGUAAAGUACUUUCAGCGGGGAGGAAGGGAGUAAAGUUAAUACCUUUGCUCAUUGACGUUACCCGCAGAAGAAGCACCGGCUAACUCCGUGCCAGCCGCCGCGGUAAUAC
rnacentral:rRNA from 1 species